AGCUGUCUGCAUUUGACAAAACUCGGCGAACUGGAGUUCUGUGAGACUGACCCCCAUGGGAAGGAUCUGGAUCCACAAGCGGAGACCUCCCUCAGUGUACCAGCCAAAUCACUCAAGCCAAUGGGAGUUGGAUGGACUGGAUACUUUCCUGGUGAAGCAGUUAUUAAAAUGGAGGAAUUACAUGAAGUUUGUCAGUCUCCAGACACUUUCAGACUAAAGCAGUUAUCAUUUCUCCCAAAAGGGAAAACAUCGCAGGAUGAUAUGUGAUCAUUUGUCCAUGUUCUUUAUCCUGUCUACGAUGCCUCUGUCCACAAGUUUGAAGUCAUAGGUCUUUUUCACAAUUGCUCACAGGUGGAUGACUCAUUUCCAUUCCCAGUAGAGAAUCACACAUCCUUCCCCCUGCCUUCAAGCACUUAUCCCUAGCAAAUAAAAUAAGGCACGAAAACA